rnacentral:rRNA from 1 species
AGCGUUGUUCGGAAUUACUGGGCGUAAAGCGCGCGUAGGCGGAUUGGUCAGUUAGGGGUGAAAUCCCGGGGCUCAACCCCGGAACUGCCUUUAAUACUGCCGGUCUAGAGUUCGAGAGAGGUGAGUGGAAUUCCGAGUGUAG